AGGAGGUUUGCUGGCUCAUAGGGUGUAGGUAUAGUGAGCUUCGGUAGCUAUGGCCACAUGGUUUUCCAAAGCGCCUGUACCAGUUUGUAUUCCCAUCAGCAAG
rnacentral:pre_miRNA from 1 species